ACAUCUUAGUCUCGUUGGUGACAGCGGAGGGAUCAUUA
rnacentral:rRNA from 1 species